rnacentral:rRNA from 1 species
CGCGUAGGCGGCCUAGUAAGUCAGGUGUGAAAGCCCGGGGCUCAACCCGGAAGUGCAUUUGAUACUGCUAGGCUUGAGUAUGGGAGAGGGAAGUGGAAUUCCUGGUGUAGAGGUGAAAUUCGUAGAUAUCAGGAGGAACACCGGUGGCGAAGGCGACUUCCUGGACCAAUACUGACGCUGAGGCGCGAAGGCGUGGGGAGCAAACA